CAACAUUGACGACAAUUUUCCAACUAUAAAUUCAGAGGUAUUCAGAGAUCACCAUAAGGAAACAAUACCAUGAAUCGUGAUGGAACAAGGAUAGUGUUUCGUACAUGUUUCCUCGAACAGAAGAAUCUUCAGAGGAAAUUGUAUUCGUGAUCGAUCUAGCGACAUUUCGAGCAACUUCGGCUGGAAAAUUUAUUAUGGGUCUGAAGUUGGCCGAGCUUCUACCGUGCAACAUUCUUGCAUAAUGAUAGCCAGAAAAGCAGAACCGAUUGACGUCUUAUUACAUAAUCCGCGAAUGGAAUUCCGGAUCGCAACAAGUAGCAAGGCGAUACGGCUUUUGAAUCGAAUAAACAUGUGAUAUGUACGAUUUACUUCAACUUUGAUACGUUCCAAUAUUUUCUACAAUCGAAAAAUCAACAAUUCGAUUGAAGAAUUAAGAACGGAACGAUCGUUUCGUAAAUUUGUUACGUAAACGUCUAGUGUUACAAGGUGUAAAAACAAUUGAAAGAAACUAAUCUAAAUGCUUUUGUUUUUUUAGUCGUAGAAGAAGGAAAAUCGUGAAAAAAAAGAGGCAUUUUUUUUUAUCGCAAUAUUUUUCUCAGAGCAGAUAAAGAAAUAUAUUCGACCAUUUCAAAAACAAAUAAAUUAUCUAAAGUGCCAUUUUAGUAUUACGUAAAAUGAAUUAGUGAAACGUAGAACAGUUACAAAAACAUGUUGCAAACAAGUUGUUCUGCAAUUUAACCUAACCUAAAUAUUCUAAGUAUAAUUUGAAAAUUUGUAAGAGCAUAAUUACCUAACAAUUUUAUUAUAAGAAAUUUCUUUGAAAAUCAACCAAUUUUCAUCAUUUUUUCCAUCCCUUGAAUACGAUACUUUUAUAAAAUAACAACAACGAAUCCGUUAACACCUUCGUGAGCGUCAUAUAAAACACAAUUGCCAUUUAAUCUCUAAGAGAUAAUACGAAAUACGAUAUUCGAAAAUAAUGUUCAAAAAAUACCCAACACUCGAACAUCGUCGAAAUUUAAUUUCUCUUAAUUUCUCGGUAGACGAAGAGGAUUUCGAGCUGCGAAAGAAGAGACAUCUGGGCAGAAAGGGAAAGGGGCCGUAAAUUACAGCAAUUGUUUUUACAGAACAGUUUGCGGGUUGGCGAGGAUCGACAGGUCGAUCGUUGGCGCAGUUGGCUCGUUCCGCCCGGGCCAUUCGGGGAUUUGACUCGUUUAUUUCAGGAGGGGGCCCCGAGUUUCGCGGCUCGUUAGCACACCCGGAAAAUCCGCAAACAACCGCGCUCCAAACUUUUCAGUCGCGAUUAAUUCCCUCGGAAACCCCGACUCUUCCACUUUCUUGCUCCGCUUUCGCGGUGUAUCGAUCGCUGACACCGCGAGAAAACGUCUGCUAAUGGUAAUUCUUCUCUCCUAGUUGUAAUUCUCCUCCUCCGCCGGUUAUUUAGAACCAACUUUGUUUCUUUCCUCGCUCGGCCCCGUUCGCCAAAAGUGUCCACGCUUAAUGGCGCCGCUAUAUUUUACGAGUUCAAAGAAAUUUCCUUCUUUUUUCACUCGUUUUAAGUUCGUGUUCAGUAGCCCGUUCCUUCGCGUAGAUCCGAGCCUCGAAGAAACGAAGUGGAUCGACGAUAGGAUAGGAUUAUUGAUCAUAUCGAUAGCGGAUCUGAAUCAGAUAGCCACGUAGCUAACUAUUGACGCCAUUUUAAAUAAAUAAACGACGUUCCAUUAGUUUCAAAAUAACGAUAACGACGGUAUCGUUGAUGGCUCGAUUACACGAUCUGAUAAACGAAACAUUUUGUUUUUAAAAUAAUAAUUUAUGAAAGGAUGUUAUUAAUAUCUUGAAAUUAUUAUAUAACAUUCUUUUGCCCCGUAAUAAAACUUUAUAUAAUUGGAUAGAUUAUCAUUUUUAAUUUUUCAAAUUACCACGCAUUCUUUAUAUCGUAUUACGUCUUCGUUCUCGCUCGUAGCAGAUAUUCGUGUAAUUGCGAACGACAAUUCAGCAACGCUCGAGUUCGAUCGAAAAUUGUUAUUAUCUAAUACAAGUUAGGUAGAAUUUGAUAUAAAUAAGAAUCAAACGUGUCGUCGUUUCUCAACUUUAUCCGUUCCAAUUUUCAAUUCGUCCCACUAUCUCACGGGGAUCCAAAGUUUGAAGAAGGCAAACAAUUUCCACUUCGUUUUCUCCUCGAUUCUCGACCACGGUACCACUCCACCUUGGGGACAAAAGGUAAACACCUAUACCAGUCGGCCAACAAACGCUAAAUUCUCGAUGGAAAACUGUAAUUUGGAAUCAGCUCACGCACACGUACCAACCUAUCUAAAACGAGGAGAAAGAAAUUUGAUCGAACGAUAAGGAGAAAUGAAUAUCUACCCUCUAAUUUUCAUCCAUUCUCAUCCCUCGGAUUCUCGCCUGCCAUUUUAUGUUAUAUUACAUUAGUUAGCAGCAACUGUCGUCCAUUUAUAGAAUAAUCUAGCGAUGCCGCGUAAUUCCAGCUUUAAAUGGCGUGAAAAAUGAGUUACGACAAGAAAAUUGUGUAAGCCCGCAAUUAUGUAAAUAGACGAACACGAGAAUGAAGCAUAUAUAUAUAUAUAUAUACACAUCGACCUCCCUCGUUCUUUUAUCAGCCCUCCGCGCCUUUCUUCCUCCUCAUUUUUCAUAUCAUGGUGCACCUACUGGGAGAAUGGAGGAGAUAAGGAAAGGGAGAGAGGGUUGCGGGGGCGGUAACAGUGACAACCGAGAGGUGUCGUAGACUGUUGAAAGAGAAGGUUGAAAGAGUAUUGCGAGACAAUAUGCAGCGAGUAGGUGGCCAAGUGAGAACACGUGGGCGACUGCUAUGGCAAGGACGUUCCUAACUGUCGCGGUUUCGUUACCAGCUUACCGUAUAUAUUACUAGAACGUGUGUAUAUAUAUAUAUAUGUACGUAUUUCGUGCUAUGUUUGACGUAAGAUGUGUAUUUCGGGAUGAUUUAUUUUUAAUCUCGGAAAAUAGAUUUAGUUUAAUCGGGAUAUUAUGAUCUUUUUCGAUAGAUAAUCGAAGACUUUAUAAUAGCUCGCAAAUUCACUUUUCACAAUUUUCGAAGUAUUAUAUAAUUAAAUACAAACUGUGUGAUGUAAGCUUAAAGAAUCUCAAAGAUUCUUUCGAUUAACAAAACAACGACCGAUAAAUCAUAUUUCAUUGCCUAUUGUUAACCGAAAAGUAAUCAUUCCACUUGACAUUUUUCUCGGCGCAAACCAAAGGUAUAUUUCCAAGUUUAAAAAAUUCGUGGAAAAUAGAAAUAAAAGCUGUUGGCGACAAAUGAUGGCGGAAGUCGCGUCGAAUGCUUGAUUUAAAAUGUCUACAAGAUUUCUACUUACUAUCUUUCUAUUUAUCCAAGAUUAUCAAAUCGAAUGAUAGUCAUCUCACUCUACUCGUCGCGUAGAACUGAAAAUUCAACGACACGUAUUUUCAAUAACACUCGGAUUACCAUAACGCGUGCAAUAUACCUAAUCGUCCGCUAAACCGCACACCUUUCCCAGUUUCAACUUCGCAGCAACGGUUCGAAAAAUCGUGGACGAAAUUCGAUCACCGUGCACACGGGUCGCUCGAUUGAUGAUCGAGCUUCGAAGCAUAGGCGUAGGCGCGAAAAUCCUUGGGUCUCGAUAACGAUAAGUCGAAUAUCGAAGGGACAUCCGGUUGAUCCCCAAGUUCAUCCUCGCUGAUCGGCAGAGAAUCCGAUUGGGCGUCGCUGUCAGAAUCCGAUCGCAUUUGCAUACAAUCGACCGUUAUCCGGCUGCAGGCCGUCUAAUUUGCAUGGUGCGUCGUUGCUAUCGUCACAGUGGCGUGUUGAUGACCGAGAGACGGAACGAUCUUUCUCUCCCUCCGCUGGAAAAGGAGGGAGGCUCUCUUGGAAAACGACACCCACGCUCUAUCAGAGAGCACCGUGUCGCACCGACUUCGUUCUUUUUCUUCUUCGCUUGGACUUUUUUCUUCUUCUUUCUGACCGAUCCGUCUAUUCGAUCCACCAAUUGGCGAUCCAAGGUUGAUCCAAGGAAUGACGUCAAAUGCGAGCGUGUCCUCCAUUCUUAAAGCGAAUCAUAUGGCGAAGUAGAGAUAAGCGAAGAGUUGACAAAGUGUUUAAACGAUAUUGCUCGGUUUUUCCCCUCGAUAGGAUUUCGAGUGGUCACGCUUUUUUUUUACACGGAUGCAACACAAGAAUAGAUUUAUUCUCGAUGAUAAGGAGUCUUAUUUUUUUCAUAUCCGGAUUUUGAUCGAUGAUUAAUCAUUAUACACGUAGGGAAUUAAGUGUAAUAAUCCGCAUUUCUGUUCAUAAAUAAUUGGAUACUUAACAAUUCAUUAACCGAAUUAUAUUAACCGUUUGUACGUGUGUAAAGAAAUAUCACGUUAUCUUAAUGUAAAUCUAGUUUAAUCUAUCUUAAUGAUAAAUUUACUUUAUUAAAGUCUACUUUAAUCGGCAACGUUGUGAGAAAUGUGAAAAGGGGAAUUCAUAUAUAUUGUGUGAAUUUAUCCAUUUAAAAAUAAAUUGCAAUAUCGUAGUAAAACUUUCUUUAUUUCAAAUGCACGUAUAUCAAGACAAAAUGAAAAAUUAAUGGUAGCCAAUUAACAAGGGAUCUAGAACCGACUUUGUUGCAAGGUCGGACAAUUAUCGUCACGAUAUUCCCUCGUUUAAAAAAAAAAACAAAAAAAGAAAAAAGAAAAAACGUCUCUCGGAUUUUUAACUACUAAUAACGUUCAAAUCGGGCACACUGAAUAAUCGUCCGAUAUAUCAAAUAAAUGGGAAGCAAUUUAUCCCAAGACUUUAAAUUCGCAAGAAAUAUCCAGAUUUAAGCUCGUCCAGCUUAUCAUUUUCGUAUCCACGUACUCGCAACUUUCUUCCAUAUUUGAAAUAGCAACCGGUUUAUCCGGUGUAUAUCGGAAAAGGUUGUUGCAACGAUCGUCGAAAUAAUUCAACUUCAAAAAUAACCUCUCGCGUUCCUCUCCAACUAUCCCGAGAAGUACGUAUCGUCAUAUACAUGUUUCACGACGGAUGGUGAACCGGGAACGAAACGCGAAAACCAAUUGUUCGAUAAUUGAUUGAGAAUAGAAACCGGUGAAAUUCGGGUUUUAUUCCGUCGGAAUCAUCGCGUCGAAUCGGCAUUUCAGCUUCGAGCCGAUUGGAAACCGAGACGCGGUGAAAUUCGCGACGAAAUUGGAGUAGCCGCGCUAUCGCGAGCGCGCAUGCGCGCCUCGAACGUAUCUCUGCAGAAGUGAAAGUAGAAAUGCUCGGUGGGCCUCUGUAGAAAGUGACAUUAUACGGGAACGAAUACAAAUCAUAAAGGUAAACGAAGCCCGCAAACGCUCGUUUCGCGUGGUUUCCCCGUUCCAUAAACAAAACAAACGAAACGAGCGCGCCUCGGUUAAUAUCUUAUCGGUACUCGUGUCUCGGUACGUUGUUGUGCGUACGUCGUUGAUAACGUAUCGUUUCCACGGCUGAUACGCAUUUCGUAUUCACGACGUUUCACAAAGAGAUCCCGUUUCCCAUUGGUCAUCGGGGAGGGAAAAGCUUGGUUUUUUUCGCACCUGUUUCUUUGUCUGUGAUUCGAGGCACAAUGGAGAAAAUGGAGCAUUAAGCAUCGAGAUAAAUCAGAGAUAAGUAAGAAUUUCUACGAUUCUCUCGAUAAAGGAAAUGGCACGAACGACUUUCGAUUUGUCGAACCUUUUCAAAAUCUUUGUUCUAUUAUAUUCUUGCGCGAUCGUGUUAACGCGUAUGGAAUGUUCUUUUAAACAAAAACGUCAGAUUGCUCGAAAAAUUCCUAAAGAUUGGAUAAUGAUUCGAUAUCAGAUAUCGUUACCUUAGUUGUUGAUACAAAAGAACUUUUCCAUUUUGCCCUUAUUCUUUAUCUCUAUCAUUUUUCUUCCUUGAAAUUAGUUGGCUCGUUCCAUCUUCCAAGAUUAGUUCUUUCUACGCAUCGGCAUCACGCGAGUCUCUAAUUUUUCCACCGAUCGUGCUAUUCCCCUUCCCGUUGUUCGAAAUCGUUUUCACGGAUAAACUCUCUUUCUCUCUCUCUCUCGAAGAGGAAGAAGAAGAAGAAGAGGAAUGAUUCGGUAGAAAAUUUGCAAGAUGCGUGGAAAAAUUUGAUUUCCACAAGGAGGGUGUACGAUCGAUGGUCGAAAAUUUGAUCCGAGAGUCGUCGGAACGAGGUUAGACCUCGGUGGAAAGGGAUUCGUUUCGCAUCCGGUGAACCAAACCGGAGUCUUCCGCCCCCGCAAUCGAGUUUGCGCCACGAUACUGUAUAUGCAUGAGAUUUUCCAAUAUUUUAUUUCGUUUAUCGGUUCCGUGGGCGCAAAGAUUGUGUUUGUUACGAGGAAGAGAAGGGGGAGGACCUCGUCGCUUUAACAUGGACCCUUCGCCCCUGCCGGACCGAACGAACGGAAUUAUCGAGAAUUUUCUGGAAACGGAGAGAGAAUUUUGCGCGGCCAACGCGUGAAUGCAAAUAUAUAUGUGUAUACCUUUAAAUAUUAUUCGAAAACGACGAAAAGCAAGGUGAGUUUUGGUUUGGAAAUAUUCUCUUUAUGGAGACUAAUUACCGGAUACCGUGGACAGUUUUUGUAAUCCCUUGCGAUCAAUAUCUGGCGGGGAAUAAAAAGCAAUCGGCACGAGAGAUCGCUUCGAGCGAUGAAACGAUAAAAACCGGAGAUUAUUUUAAUUUUCACCGAUCGUACACCAAUAAUUCAUUAAUAUGGAUACAUAAUUGCAAAUGCGGAAACCGCGAAGCUUAUCGUCGGCCGGUAAUAAAUUUACAUCACGAUUGUAUAUACCCGUGGCCCCGUAAAUAUUUCAUUAAUAAUCCUCUUCGAUAAUGAGUGUCUCGUAAAAUACACAACCGACACGAGAAUUGCCUCGUUUCCUCAAGAUAAUCAACGGCGACACGUGCCUAGAUGUUUACCGCGAUUCGAUUUCUGCAACGAGAAGCGCAUCUCAUUUUUCAAGCGAUCAAAAUAGGCGAGAGUUAUUAACAUAUUCAUGAAAGGUUAUGGUAUAUUAAAAUAUAAGUAAAUGGAAGAAGUUGGCUCGAUUAAAUAAACCUCGAGCGAAAUAGUUUCUCUUCUAUUUGAAAUUGAGCGUAAAUAUAUAAAAUUGUUUGGACAAAGAUUUGAAAGACACGCUCGAAAGAAAAUAAAAUAGUUUUAAAAAUAUAUAUACAUGUAUACAACAUCAUCGACGAUAUCGACUUCUUUGAAUAUGGCAUUAAUUUUUCGAUCAACUGUUUCGAACAAAUUCUAAAUAAUUCGUAUUAAAAAAAGCACGUGGAGAUUCAUAUUGAAUAUUUUUUCAAAUACGAAAAAAUGAGUCGAAAAUUAAUAAUUUUUAUAUACAUUUCGUACAAUCGUUCGAAUAUUUUAUUUAUCGUGUUAUUUAUACCGUACAUCUGUAAAUUCACGAAGAAUCUAUGUAACAAAAAAAAAAAAAAGAAAAACUCGAAAAAAGUCCAAAAGGGGAGGUAUCAAGAUUAUUUGAUUAUUAUUACGAGUUAAGAAAAAGAAAUCGAGGGGGAAAAAACGACGAAGCACAACAGGAAAAGAGAAAGAAGAGAUCGUGGAAUAUUUCGGUGGAAGGCGACGAGAGAUCGGUCGCUUUUUCUUGUAAAUUUCGACCGUGUUACAUCACAGAAUGGAUUUAGCUUCUGGAUAAUUUAUCCCAAUCGAGUCAUCGUUCCUUUCUCUUACAGUCGCCGGUUGUGGGUCGAUCUGGUGCGCCACGUCAGUCGUUGGAAUUAAUUUUGAUAUAAAUACCUCGUUACAUCAUGAACUUACUCCAAUUAUGGGAAAGUAGAAUUUUUUUUCUUUUAAAUCUUUUUUCCACGCGCAGGAAAGUUGUGGACCGAUUCGGGUGACAUAUCAAUCGUUGCAAUUAAUUUUGCAAUAGGUACAUGUGUUAACGGCGUAUAACUCGAACGAUGUUGAAGUGACAGUGCCUCUUAUUCACCACAUGCUGUAGAGAAGGAUAUGUCCCAGUUUUGAAUGAAGUUUGUUCGUAUAUACCAGAAUAAAAGAUAGAUUGAGUCGAGCUCCAAUUCUCACUGAUUCUUCCACGAAGUCCAUGUAUAUUACGUCUAUAAAAAAAAAUCGAAUACCAAUAAAAAUAUUAAUAUUAUCCCGACAAGUGGACAACGUUCGUCGAAAUUGCGGCCAGUUUUCCAGUUACAGAACUGGUCCAAAUCCCUUUCCCCCCUUCCCUCCUACGACGACAAUUACCGGAAGAGUUUAUCGCGGGGGACGGCGAACGAAAGCAAGAUUCUCCCCCUCGGGCGCGGCUGCUCUUCAAAGGGACACACGGAGAGGAGGGGGAGAGGGUUGGGAAAAAAAACGAGGGAUAAGAAACAGACGUUUCCUUUGUUUACCAAGGAACGCUUUGUUCGUGGCCCCGGGCGAGGCGGGGGCUGGGUUCGCGAACAGGCCCAACAUUCGCGUCGUUCCUGGCUCCUGCGCCGUAUUUACCCGAUGUCAGAAAGCAUGCGAGGGUUAAUUAGCAUGGUGGAGCAAUUGCAUUUUGCACCGAAGAAGGAUUCGAGAAGAUGGAGAUCGACGAGAUUUUUUUUCUUUCAAUUUCGGCGACGCAUCCUGGCAUCAGAGAUCGAGGAAACGUGUCGACGAUGUAAAUCUAUCCAGGCACAUUCCUCGACCGUUUGAAUCUCAUUAACACGGUGAAUGUGAAGGUUAUUAGCGAAGAUUUCCACCAAGUUGUGCGACAAUCGCGUUAUGUAAUCGACAGCUGGGUGAUUAAUGGGUGAAUUUGUUGUGUCGGAUCGAUUGCACGAUCGUCGAAUUAAAUGUCAAACCGAGCUCGGACAGAAGUGGUUGAUUCCUCUCCGAUCCUCGAUUUCGCAAUUGGCGCAUCGCGUGCAACUUUACAGAUAUUCGAUUUCGUUCGAUCGUUGGACGUGACAAUUGGAAAAUUUCCAUUCUUCUUUGUUGAUCAUUCGAGAUACGAAUAAUAAUUUUAAUAAUAAUAAUUUUUCGGAGGGGAAAAAGAAAAAACGUCAAUUUAAGAAUCUGUUAACGACCACGUAUUCGUUGUUUGGAGCGUUGUUAAUGGAUGGAAAAUGCACGAGUAUAUGGAAUAAUCUGUAUCAUUUCGCAAGCGAGUGUUGGAAGAUAAAUAGAUGUAUCCGCGGUGAUUGUGCAUACGUUCUUGAACCGCGAUUUCGUGGCUGUCGCGAUUAAAAUGCGCUGGAUUGACCGCGCAUGCAUAUACAUGAGACACAUAACAGGUCGGUUGAAUUACACGGAGAAUUGACGCACGUUCCCGGUUUAAAACAAACGGCAUGACAAUGGGCGAGAAACGUGAGGGGAGGCUCGUGGAAAUUUUCGAGAAUGUUGCAUUUAGGCCAUGAUACGUAAAAGCGUACAACGUUUUGGAGGACGAUCGAAUUUUCUCGUGCCAAUAAUUUUUCCCUAAAUUCGUUAAUUUAAUUUAAAAUAGAUCGACGUUCUAAAGUUGGAAAGCUAAUGUAAUUUUUCAUAUUUGGUUAAUCGAAUGAUAAAUUUGAUAUUUAUCAGACUGGCUGAGAAAGGGUCUCCAUUUCAUAUCUUAUAUAACGUUGCUUUUUGUUUUUAAGUGACAUAUAGUAUUAAGUAAUCUCAGCAAUUUUUAAGUAGGAUGAGAUACGUAUAUCUUGCAACUGCUCGCUGAUAUCUUUUAAUAUUUAGAAUUUCGUCAAAAUUGGCAAUGUAAUGGCAAUUUAAUAAAACGGCGAUUCUUUCCAUAUUUUUCUAUAUUUUUUGCCAUAUAGUGUCUAAUUCUCCUCUGAAAAAUCUACGCAACGGAGGAAUCGUACGAUUGCAAAGUUGCCUUUCACGCAUAUCGUAUUUCUCAUAUAUUUUCAAAAAACGAAAGUCAUCAAAUAUAUAUAAAAAUACCGUCAUCACGACUCGGUUAACAUGAUACGAAAAAAGGAUGAUCGCGAUUGGAAAAAAAUAUUUUCUCGUGUACAAAUUUGGAUAGAUUGGAUUAGCCCGCGAAAAAUAUUGAGAAUUACUUCGAUCACCCUAUUAUAAUAUUGGAAGAAAUUAAUACGCUCGUUCGACCUCGACGUAUCAACGGCCGCGUAUCGCUGCGCAUAUAAGCUCGUACGUACGCACAGGUUGCAUCACGGAACACGUGGAACGUUGUUAUCAUCAUUUUCUCACGGCGCGUACGCGCUCGAUCCGUUAUCGAGCGUUGUCUGGCGCCUUUUAUGCGAACCGAAGAGAAUGAACCGACACAUUUUCGCGACGAAACACGCGAAUACCGUUGCUCUUGUUAUCGUUGGAUCGUGCCGAUGGCCAUGUCUUCGACCUUCCUCGAUUGAUUACCUUUUUUGUAUGGAAAUGUUAACCUUUUGAGCAACCGAUUUAAUUACAAGAAAUUUUCCAUGUGGACUUAAUUUCUCUUUCCUCCUCCUCUUCUUCUUGUUUCGGUGUAACGAAUAUAUAGAAAUAGAGAGAAAUAAAAAUUAAAAUUAGAAAUUAUUGGACGGGUUGUUAUCGAUAUACAUUACAUAAAUGCAAAUUGGAACGGGCAUUUGCAUUGUCAAGUAGUCUUGCUUCUAAUUUAAUGCAAAUACGAUAAACGCGACGACGCUUUGGCAUAUAUUAUUUGAAAUCAAUUAGUGAUACAAGUGAUUAAAUUUGCAAAUUCAGAGACUAAAGAUUAAAGCGAUACGAAUUCGGGUAGUUCUAUUCGGGUUAUCUCGUGCUCGAGGAUAAUGGAGGCCUCUAUGCUCGAACUAUUUUUCGAUAUUAUACACGUGAAACGUGCAGAGGAGUGAACGUGUAAAAACGACCGUGUAUUCGAAACGCGUCUUGGCCAAGGGAAGUUAAUCUACAGGCAAAAGAAAUUAUAUGGAAUUAAGGAAGAGGUACAUCCGAAUUGACCCGGUAGCAAGCCAAGUAGCCGCCAUUGAUGAUAUAAUAGAAAGCGAAAUAACAGGAACGCAAGCGGUGUGUAAGGGGUGGCAGGUCGCUGAAAGUUGGACCGACACGCGAUCCGGAAGUUUCGCCAAGGAUAAAUUACAGGCUACGACGUAAACCGAGAUUUUUGUCGAAAAUAUUUGUAAUCUCGUGUAUAGAAAGAAACGAUACAAAAGAAUCGGACGUGUUCUCCGGGAACUCGAUCUCUAAUCACGCCAAUAUUUUUCUUGCGGUUUCGAUAAAAGAAAAGAAAAGGAAGAAGAGGGGAACGAAGAAAAUUGAAAUAUAAAGGGUAUCGAUCGCAAUAAUAAUCGCGCACAAGAAUUUAAUAAAUCGUGUUAUCCUCGUUUUUCGAGGAUUAAAGGGCAACGAUGCGAGACGCGACGAUACAUCGGAAGGCUCUUUAAAGGAUAUAGGGUUUCUGUUGGAUAUAGGGUUUUGCAAAAUGCAGAGAUAUUUCGGUUAACCAUUACGCGAAAGGAGGGAAACGAACCGCGUUCCAGAAACGUGGAUUGGCCACCGUUUGAUCGGUUUAUAUCGUGGCUGCGCAACGUGAAACAACCCGCGCCAGGGGUUCUUUUGCUAAAAUAUACCGCCAUGAUCGCGGUAAUGGCGCAAAAUUACUGUAUCGCGUUGUAAAUUGCGCUCAACGGCGAAAUCUGGCAAUUUCGGAUCGGAUCGAUAAGCCUUCUCUGUGUACUUGGUGUACUGCUUGAAAACGAGCCUCUUUAUCUCGAAAUUGAAAACUUUGGAAACCUCUUAAAACGGUGAAACGCGACAAUCUUGAUACGUUAAUGGUGUUAAUCUUUCGUGAAUGUUCACGCGGUUUUCUUUUUAAGCUACGUUCAUAUUUGACUACCUAUUGCGUUUGAAAGCUCGUUCUUAAGAAUGAAAACAUCAAAUCGCUUUGUUGUAAAAAAUAUUCUCGAGUGAAAACGAGAAAGAAUGUUAAAAGUCUUACUUCUGAAUGCUUUGAAACGGUUAACAGUUAUUGAACACUGGAAAAAGACAAAAAGAAUUCGAAGCAUUAUAAAACUCACUUAAAUGUUAUCGAAUCGCACGAGAAAAGGGUUAUUCGAUACAUACGGAUGCAAAUAGGGGGAAAAAAGCGUGGAAUUAAAACACGCGUGUGUCGGCCCCGUGAAAAUUCCUGAGUGACAUGUGUGCACAAGCUGCGCAUGUGAACGAGUGUCGUAAUCAGUCCCUUAAAGGGGCCCAAACACGGCGAGUCAAUAUUGGAGCAGUCUCGUUCUCUCUAUCGCGUUGCUCGACCUGUUUAAUCAGAACGAGCAAGCGCGCACCUUAAUCGUCGCAGCGAAUGCUCCGCUGUGCCCCACGUUUCUUCCGUUUGUCUUUCAUUUCGGGGCCCUUGCGACGUCCACCAUUUUUGAAAAGACGAUGCAGAUUCAUCGAUGGCUUAAAACCUUUUGGAUUAUCUUUCCAGAUAUACGAAAGGAAAAUUUUCACAGUGAUUCUAGUAAAUUCUUCAAGCUCAAUGGUGAUAUAUAUGAUGAAAAAUGGAAUAUUUUUCAAUGAAAAUCACGUCGAAUGAAGUAAGUUUAAAGCGUCUGAGUCUCAAUUUCAUGUCAGAGCAUAUCGAAAAUUGGAAUGAAUUCAGAAGAGAGGAAAACUUGUUGUUAGUCAAGAUUGGGAGAUGGAUAUAUUUUUUGUUAUGUUAUUUCGCAAGAGCAACGAUUAAAAGUUGACAGAGGCGACGAAGCGGUUCCACAGGAAUGGCGGACGUACAGGAAAAUAAGGCAAAAAUCCGCGAUAACGAAUAUGUGGUAACUGACGCACGCCUGUUAAAUCUUUACGCGCGUAGAUUAUUCAAACUUUUCUUAAUGGCCUCCCACGACCUUAAUCACCGCCAUAUAAUUGCGCGACCUCCUCGUUCAACACAAAUAUCUUGCCAUCUAUGGAGCUGGAUUUCAAAAAGUAUUUCUUCCUCCACCCUACCUCCCUUCACAUCUCUUUCUCUUGUCUUUCUCGACCCCUUGUCUCGUCUUAACCGCUAUUAAUCACAUCCCCUCCAAUAAUUUGUCUCGUUCGUUCAAUGAUGGAACGAGUAGGAAACGGUUACGUAUACAUAAAUACAGAUUGUUCCAAAAAAUGAGGGAACGUAGAAAGUUGACUAGAAUUUUCUGAAGUAAUUUCAACUUUUGACUUUUUCCUUUGCAGAAGAAAAACCUUUCUUUUUAUUAGCCAAUCAUUGAGCAGGUAAACUUAUCGAGCCGUGACGAGCAACGUAGAUUAAUCGGAUUAAUUUUCAUUUCAGUUUUAUUAACAAAAAGAAAAAAGGAUACUGGCCAAUCACGGAGUAGAUUUAUGCGGAAAAUAAUCGAGUCGAAUCCGGUUUCUCAAAGGAGGGAAUCGAACGCCUGUUUGGAGCCAUUCCUCUAUAUAGUUGCCGCAAUUACAGGUGGCGCUUGGCGCAGGAUGGCUGGAUAGGAUUUUAAAUAACAAACAUCGCUCGCUUCCUGCGCCUCCGCUUUGCGUAUCGUGCGCUAAUGACGCUCUAAUGACACGCUAAUGGCACAUCGGCACGCCUAUUAUCCCGGAUCCGCGAUAGCCUCGCCAACCCUCGUGUUUUCCUUAUUUUCUUCCUUUCAACCCCGCUCCUCCACCGAGUGAAUAACUCGACGAUAGGAUAUCAUUAUUAUUCAGCAUUCCUCUGAAAGUUUUGUUUUACCUCUCAAUUUGUCUUUCGUACAUUUCGCGAAAUUUUUUAUUAUUAUUUUGCUCUCGAAGAGUGUAUUAUUUAUUUUUUUUAUUUUAGUAUUUGAUUAUUUGGCAAAAAACUGCAAAGAAUUCCAAUUUAAUACGGUGUUGUACGUACUUUCAAUAAAACGUUCCUUUUUGAUAUCAAACUUUUAUAGUUAUAUAAAUACAUACAUGUAAGAUAAAUGUGAUUAGACAGAAAAUGGAUUUUUAAAAAUCUCAUUGAAAGUAUAUACUACGUAGUUUCGAUUUUCUUUUUUCAGAGAGUACCUAAAAAAUUAUUAACAAGAAUUAUUAUUACAAAUAUAAUGGUGCACUCUUUGCAGCGAUAUUCGUGAAUAAGAAAGAAAAUUUCAUUCCUUGAAUCAAUCACGUCCAUAGUAUUCAUUCGUAAAACGCGUGUGUAUUAACUUCCUGCCUCUCCCGUUUCCAUUUUGCAUCCUUUUUCUGGCACGAACCGCGCCAUUUUCGAAUAUUUCCUCCCUUCCCUCGUGGCGCAAAAUCCACGGAUUAGCGUGAUUUGGAACGUCGAGUAACUGUUAUUGGAUUACAGGGUGACGUAAUUAAGGGAGCCGAUAGAAAUAAAUCUUUUCUCUCGGCCAAUUGGAUAAUUUGUGACGUACGAUCCGCGGCUAUCGAUUCGAUUUUAUUACGGUUCACCCGUGUCCCCGUGGUUAUUCUCGGAUUUGUUUAGGCGAUGCUCCCCUUCGUGUUUAUCCCGAUGGCGUAAUGAGUCCAGGAAGGCAUUUCGCCGUUUCCGGGCGUAAAUCUUUCUUUUAUGAGAGGGAACAGACAAUUCGGUUGGAAGCUGUUCUUCUGGCGGACAUUAUUGUAAAUUUCAUCCUCCACUUAUUUCAUCGAGGCUAAUCCUUUAAUUUCUCAUAUUUCUUGAGGAAAGUCUAAAUUAAUAUUAAUUGUUGAUAAUUCAUCGUUACAGAGAUACAAAAAUUCAAAGUAUUAAUCAAAUACUUUCAUGUUUACAGCGGAAAGAUUUAAUACACUUUUACCAUCGAAAAUAAAUUUAUUUAUUACAUAUACCAAUGAAAAUUCGAAAGCUUCUUUUUCGUUCAGUUUCACCGUUCACAACCAAAAUACUCCACAGAUUUACUCUCGGUGGGGAACGGUAAAAAGUCCCGGUUUUCUCGUUGCGUUGUUACACACGAGGCUGGAGCAGCGUGGAAACUUCGUCCAACCGGCCCCAUUUCCGGGCGAAAAUCGCGGCGUGAAGCGAAGCAGAGGGAUAGUUUUCGCGCAGAAAUAUUUACAAUAAUUCGGACGAAUCGCGAACCUGGUCACUCGACUUCCCCCACGGGGAAACGUGUAUCACCGGAUCCAGCGGAAAUUCCAACGGGACGAGAAAUCCGGUCAGCGCAUUCUCCCCGUUAUCGGUACCGCUUAUCGCCCCGCCGCAGAACGCGCUCCUAGCUCAUUUCCAAAGGAAUGGAAUGGUCUCGAGAGGACGCAAUUCCAUUCAGAAUACCGUGGCCACGCCACGUGGAACCACGGAUUUUUCAAAACCACAUCCUGGUGCUUACUUUCUUCUACGCUCAACCGACUAUUAAGAACUUAUUUGGAGAGUGUGUUUGAGGAUGCUGUUGUUACUUCGUAAAAUACACGUUUCGCAAUAAUGUCAAUAUUUCUUAAAUUCUCUUAUAUGGAUGUACAUAUAAGAAAAUGGCUCUGAAUUGACUCUCUUUGAAUUAUUGCAUCACUGUUGGAUUAUCCUGGAAGCGUAAUAUUAAGUUUAAUGUGAGUUAUAUGAUAGUUAUAUGAUAGAUAUUCCUUUUUUCUUUACAGUCGAUUAAUCGUAACUUCGCCCCCUCUCCGAGAUGUUGACAAGUUCAAGAAAAAAGAAGAGAGAAAUAACGAGAGCGAAAGAAAACUGAAACGCCAUUCACCCGGUCGGAGGCGAACUAGUUUCGAACGAUUGAUAAAAAGGAAAGAAAAUAGAAAAUAGGGCUAUCGGUCGGAGAGACACCGUUUCCUGUCUGCGCGUCGAUAUCGAGGACUCGCGGGGGACCUUGAAAGGCACGCGCGGAAUCCGGCUCCGGGCCGCGUUUCUCCGCGCCCCCGAUUUCCCGCUCUCGCGAAACGAUACCCACACGCUGGCCCGCUCGUGAUUAGCCGCCAUCUCGAAUUAACCGGCCGCCUAUCCGCUCGUUAAAGUCUCGACAGCUCGAUGAAAUUCCUCCACGCUCGCGAUUACGCAAUCGGUUGGCCCCGAGGAAUUGCCAACUUAUCGCUUCCAGAGGAUCUCGUUUUUUAACAGGGUCAAAGAUUUGUUUCGAGAUUUUUUUUUCUAAGCGUGGAAACCUUUCGAACCUUUCUACUUGAAGAUUUUUUAUUUUUGUUUCGGGGACCGCACGUUUAAGCGGAUUAAGUUUCGUUUGCGAAUUAAUUGGAUAAGUAUUGGAGAAUUUUUUUUCAGAUUUUUAUGAAACGAUUUAAGAAACGAGGCCGGGGAAUGGAAAGAUCGUAUGCAGAUCACGUGAAAAAGAAUCAUAUUGCCAGGAGUAAUGAGGGCACCGGUGUUUUUUUCUUUUUUUUUUUCGCAACUUUGGACGAGAUAUCUUGUCGCUGACAGAUGUUUUCUGUCGUAAUAUCGUUUGUAUGCAACGCUAAGGAUGAAAUAUUUUAUCUUUUAUCCUUCGAUAUUUGUUUAAUUUAUAUUCAAAAUGGUAUAUCAAAGAUUGCAGGUAUAUUAAUUUUUUUGAUACGAAGAGGAAAAAACAAGAGGGAAAAAUGCAUCGAGAUCUCGGAAUGGUAACAUUGGUAGUGAGAACGCGUAUGGAAAUGGAAAUUCGAAUAUCUAUCCGAAAACUCUUUUGCACCUUUUACGUUUCUUCCACGAAAAAUCUAUGACACAUAUGUUCACGUCAUCCGCAUUGAACGUGUUAAAAUUGAACGUUAUCGGAUACUUUGAAAUAUGUAUUCCACAUUUUGUUUUCUUCUUCGUUUUUUUUUUUUUUAUUUCAAAUUUUCAGAUGGAUACAUUUCAUAUUCUAAUAAAAUACACGCGAGACAUCUCCUCCGUGAUAUCACGUAAACGAUAUUGCGGCACGAAAUAUCUUGUCCAAUAUCAUCGCAUCAACGAUAUCUCGCGAUAGAAAGGAUUAAUCCUUUCAAUGGUAAUUCAAUGGUACUUUUGUUAUUUCAAAUAUUGCGAAAUUUUGAAUGUUGCAAAGAAUAUUCUUGGCAAAAAAAAUGUAUUCGCGAAGUUUCACGCUUUAUUACGUAACAAAUGGAACUUCGUAUCGUGAAUUUAUAAAAGAUAUUAAUGUGUUUGUCGACAAAGCACGUAAUAUAGCGUAUAUUUCUUGUGAUUUCAAUUGAUCACUUUGUAAUAUUUAUACAUAGAAGGAAUUUUAUCUUCUUCCUCGAUUGAUUGUCGUGUUAAAAUAUUUCACACUUUUUAAAAUAUCCACGCGUGAAACGAUUUGCAUUUUUAUGCAGCCAAUAUGUCGGCUAUGAUUGCUGAAUCAUAUUCUCGUUUGUUUGUUUUUUUUUUGAAAUAUUUAAAUUUUAGUUGGAAGAAGUCAUUUUUUUGAAAAAUUUUUGUUCAAAUAUUGAAAUAUCCGUUUUUUUUUAAGGAAAACAGGAAGAUGAAAUUCGUUUUUUCAAAAGUGUGAAGCGAUUACAGGAUAGAGUUUGAUUUGUUUCGUUUGAAUUUGAUUUUGAUUAUUAUUUAUCGCAUUUUAUUCAUCUUAAUACGUUUUCAUUGAAUAGAUGAUAAAGGGAUAAGGAAAGUUAUAUCAUAGAAAGAAUAUAAAAAGAGAAAAUAUUGGAAAUAUCGGAGAAUGUUUGAAGGAAUUGUCGAAGCAUGAUAUUCCAGAGAAAUUUAAUUUAGUUUAAAAAGAUUUUCAAAUCCAACAAUAAUUAUUUGAUAACUGCUUUUACUAUUAAUAAUAAUAAUAUCAAACAAUUUUAAUAAUCUCGAUGCCAUAAAAUGUUUCUGAUCAAACAAAAAUUUUUGCCGAUAUAAAUUUUUAAACGGCGCUUGAAUCUCGAUUUUAUGAAAUCUUGGAAGAAGUAAUUAACAUUCGCCGAGGAUUUUUCAAGGAAUAUCAUCGCAAGAAAUCAUAAUUUCCUAGGACGGGAAACUGCAUUUUCUUCGCGGAAGUGCUUCUUAUCUCGAAUAUUUAUUAAUUUCAAGGAAAGUUAAUUUUUUCCCUCAUUAACAGUCUAUCCUUAAACGAACAUUUAAGCAUCCUGUAUUCAAAACCAAACUGCGGAAUUUCCUUCUAAAGCGUCUUCCUUCCUCGUACCGUAAUUUUCUGUGCAGAUAUAUAUUUUUUUCUCAAACAUAAAAAGCAACGCGGUCCUUUAGAGAGAUUGAAAUCGAACGAACGAACUGGAUUGCCAAUUAAACUCUUGUGUCAAUAUACUUCCUUACGUUUAUAACAUUAUUUAAUUUUUAAUUUCACUAAUAUUUUUUUUAUUAUGAGAUUCUCAACUUGGAAAGCAAAUAAUAAUAAUAAUAAUAAUCCGGAUAGAUUUGAUAAAACAUAUUAAUUGUUAUAUAAAUAUUAACAAAAAAAUCAGAACCAGAAACUUAUAGUUUUUAAAACCAAUAAAUCAUUCAUCAUUUUUUCGAGCAACUUCAAACGCAGAAGAAAAAGAAAGUUUCAGAUCGAGAUGCAUUAUCCACGCGAAGCAUCGAUUUUCAUUCGCACUAUCCGUCCGUUUUCCUUUUUUUUUUUUUUCGCUGUUCGUAAACCUUGAACAGUUGCAAAAUCAUUCGGCACGUGUAGCUUAUAAUCUAUGGAAAACAACGUGUUCGAGACAUAAGAGACGAUCCGCUGGAGGCGCUUUCGAUAACGACGAAGGAUGCGAUAAACGCGAAAAACAGUUUUCAUUAACUGACGUAUUCCGUGCGAAGCUCGCGUAUCUAAUACGGUAAACACGAUGCAUAUUUAUAAGCGUAUAUUUUUUUUUUCCUUUUUUUUUUUUCCUUCUCGUCGUCAUGCACGAAUUUCGACGAGGAACAGUUUUUAUUUAUGUCACGGCAAAAGGAAGGCUGCCUCGUCCAUGCGUGGAUUGAAAAUAUAUAUAUGUUAUAUACUGGUAUGUCCGCCAUCUUGUCUCCUCCUCUUGGAUUAUUCAAAAUCGAAUUUAUAUGUAUUCGGUGACGAAGGAUAUUUAGACUUGUUUGCUUCGCCAGUAUAUACUAGCACUUCGAUCAGUUUACCGGACUUUAAUGACUUUAAUCUGACAGAUGUUAGUCACUUCGAAGUCCAAAGUCUUUGGGAUUAAAUCGAAUAUGAACAUUGGACGUUCUGGUAUUUUCGUCAUCGAAAUCGAAAAAUUCUUCCUCUUCGUACCUUGUCGUCGAACGAAAAGGAUAGGCAUUAUUAGUGAAAGUUUUUGAACAAUAUCUUCGAUGUAUCAUUUAUAUUUCGAUCAAUUAUUUUUCUAAUUUAUACAUUUUUCUCUUUUCUAAUUUCUUAAAAAUUGAUCGUCCGACAAUACGAUUUUUAAUUUACUUAAAUGUUCCAAGAUUUAUACGAUUAAAAUCUUGCUGUUUCGCUGUUCCUUCGUAGAAAUUUGCAGCAAUCUCGUAGCAAUGACAAAUGCGUAAAUCUGAGAAUUGAAAUUCUCGAGUGUAUAAAUCUUUCUAGAGCAAGCCACGAUUUUGGAAAAUGGUUCUCAAAGCAAAUGGCCACUUAUUUUAGAUUCAGUUGGGACAAUUAUACGUUGCAGACUUUUUUCCCUAAUUCGAUUACGUCAAUGGCAACGAUCACGUCGACUCAUCGUUUCGUUAUCGUAGUUAGUCGUCGAUAUUAUCGUGUCCUCUGACGACAAUCCUCGCUUUUCGGUCAGCGGGAGGUCCUGCGUCUAUUUCCGCUCACCAUGAUUACGUAAAUAUCACGAAGGUCUCCACCUCUCCAACAGAUCUGGCCAGCAACGACUUUUCCAACUUUCGUCAAAUUUUGUAGGGUCAAUAAUCGACACGAAUCAUAGGAUAAAUUUAUGAAAAAAUAUCUUGGAUAUAUUUGUUUUUUAUCGAAAAUCAUCAAAUAAUUGAUCGUAUCAAAUCGUAUUUUUCUUGGUCAAGUAAGACGAAUUUUCAUAUUUCUUUUUUUCAUAUUUCACAAAUACAUUCGUACCAUGUUUCAUUCGAGGUGUACAAUCACUUGAGAGAGUCGCCAAAAAGAAAAAGGAGUGGAAAAAUUUAUUUUCGCUUCCUCCUUCGUAUCUCAUUGGAAAGAAAUCAUUACCAGGGUUAUCCGAUUAGUGGUAUAUAUCCGUUAUCGCGCUGCUUUGGGAAUUAACCGGUUAAUUGUUAUCGCGGGCACGAUAAGGCGGUAAGACGUCGUCGAUGCCUCUUCAUUUUCGUUUCCUUCGUUCCGUCAGCCGAUAUCAGGAGAACCGGCGCCGCGGCAAUUAACGCUGUCAGCGGGCGCGAUUCGAGGUCUGCGAGCGCAGAUAGCGUGCAUUCUGCCAAGUGAAUUGGCAGGAAACGUAUCGUCGGCCGUCGAGAUAUUUUCAUUUUACAACAUCUAUUUUUGUAUCGUUGUAUCACUCAUACCUGUGUGAAAAUAAAUAUCCGCCAACGGGAACGUAACCGUGAUUCAAAACUUUGACUCACCACAUCUUUGACAAACUUUCAAAAAAAAGUUGACGAGUGCGGACUCGUCUCUGGGAUUAGAGAAAUCAGAGAAAUAAUAUUUUAUUUCAUCUAAGAAUUAAUAAGUAUAGCUGUUCGGUUAAGAGAAUUUUCAGGAUCGCUUUUCUUGGCUCGUUUAUUAUUAUUGAAAAUAGUUCAAGGUGGAAUUUGAGAUUUUAUAGAAUAUUCGAUAUUUCUUAAAUAUAGAUUUUUGGAAAAUAUUUAUUAUUCAUUUAUCGUUCCUGCCCAAGAAAAAUGUUUUUUUUUAUUAGUAGGUAUAUACCUGAAAGUUAGGGUGAAUUCAUUAUUUGCCGAUAUAUUUUUUCGAAAAGCUAUAUAUCAAUUGCUCGUGACAUUUUCAUGUUUGUCGACAUUGUCAUAACUUAUAAAAAUUGACGUGAUAUUAUCUAAGCGCGUCAUGUACAAUGUCAUAUUGUCACAGAAAGGCAAUAGUAUAUGAAUUUUUGGCCAAAAGACAAGUAUAAUAAUGCUUGGCCAUCCAACGUGCUCGCACUGAUUUGGCUUCGUAGCUUCUAAAAAUACCAAUGAAAGAAACAGUAUAAUGUUCCAACCGUAACAACCGUGACAAGGAUAUUCAAGACAAUUCCGACAAUAGAAAUUUAUUCUUGCGUUGAUUGACCGUGCCAAUGUCAACGAACAUGUCAAAGGAGGAACGUUUAACAAGAUGGAUGAUUUUUGCGAAAUGAUGAUCAAUCUUCUAUCGUUAUUUUCUUCUCUAAAUUUUAAGAAGCGAAUAAUCAAUCCAAAUUUCAACGAGCACGAAAAAUCAAUCAUUCACGAAUCUUCCAAAAAGAGUAAAAGCAAGACAAAAAAUCCGUCUAUCUCUCACAAUUUCGCACACAUUUCUUCCUUUCUUUCAAACUUUUUAAUAAACCGAAAAACAAUCUGCUCAAGCUUUUUUUCUUUCAGCGAUAUUAUAAUCCAAAAAUCUAUCGCGAGUUGGCCGCUUUUUUGCUAUUUCGAGCGCGGCGCUGAUACAAGAAGCGGCGCAAUACGCGAGCACCAUUUAGCCCGUUUUCUUCUCUGGGCUGGCCAACGAAACAGGAAAACGACUGUGUCCAACAGGUGUCGUUAAGCCGGUUCCCUCGACCCGUAAUGAACAUUCUCUUUUAUUUACCGUUCACCAGGCUUCGCGCGCUCCGCCCGAUGACGUGCCUAUUAACGUCCACGAUUGCGUGUACCAACGUGGACAGACCUUUCUUAUCCGGCCCCAACACGGAUCUCUCGAUUUUUAUUCGACCGAUAAUGCUCGCUUUUACGAGGCACGCGUACCACGAUUCCGAUUGGUAGCUCGUGCGAUAAUACGCGUGUGCGCAAAAUAUGGACGAAGAUCGCUCGAAUUUUCUUUCACCUUUCGUCGUCGAUAUUUAUAUAUAUAUAUAUAUUAUGAAUAAUGCAAAUGAGAUCGAAAAUUGAAAUUUGUCUUAUCUUUUCACAAUUCGUUUCCAAGAAACGAUCAAAUAAGUUAUACGGGGAAUAAAUUUUAAAAAAAUUUUCAUAUCUUAAAUGUCAUGCCAGAACGCGAUUAUUAAAAUUUAUCGGCAAUUGAAAUCAAUGAAUUUUCUAUGUCUUGCGUCGAGAAUUCUUGAUAAUGAUGGAAUAAUUAUUUUCCAAAUAUUUUCCAAUUCUUUUCUAAAUUCAUUUUUAAUCCCGUGCCAAAACCGUCGUGUCUAAGAAGCAACUUCAAGUUUAACGAGGAGGCUCUUAAAGGUGGUUCUUCUUAUCGGCUCGACGAUGAAAAGUACGAUUGAUCGUGUUCCAUAAUCGGUUGUACGACGUUGUAAAACACAAUUUUCACAUAUCUAUCGAGCAUUGUUCCGCAUAUCGAGUUUUUAAAAUCAAGAAAAACACUAGGAAAUAUGUUUGUUACAUUAUUGCUAAAUUACUGUUGACGAAUUAAAGAAGGGGCAACGAGUGAACAAUGGAAAUAUGAAACUAAAUGAUUGACAAGCCCGUAAUGAAAAUUUAUUGCAGUUACAAUCUACUUUCCAGUAAUCAUCAAAUUAUUACUAAUCGUACGACUAUUGAUAGGUCAACCACUUAUAGUUAUUGAAAUUGAAAAACAAAUAUAAGAAUUCAAUUUCAGAAGAAACAAAAACGAGGAUUGAUAUUUAACCGUUCAUUUUCUAAAAUAAUCGGAUUGCAAGGAUGAACAGAUUUCGUUUACGAUCUUGGCUAAUCUUAAGAAUCGUCGUUUUGUAUGGUAUGUUCGUGGUCAAUUUCCUGGAUGCAAGGACAACUCUGAGGGAAAAAAUUCGUCACUGGGAUAAUCCUGGUGAGAAAUAAGAGAAAAAAAAAAAAAAAAAUACUGAGAAAAAAGAGAAUGUCGAAAGAAAGUAGACGGUUUCGAGAAAAAGAAGGGAACUUUGUUUUCUAAUCUAUUGACGCAAAGGAUCCACUAAUAGCGGAACCUUCCUAGAAAGGUCGAACCACUUCGAAAAUUUCGAGUUUUCAAGAAACAAAUCUACCUAGUCUUACACAACGACAAGAAGUUGUAAAUUAACGACUGGAAAAGAAUAGUUUGUAACUUGGAACUUUUCUUGUUCAAAGAAAAUUCCCUGCUCUUGACUCGAGGUUUCUCCCAUCGAAUCACGAGCCAUCAUCGACAAAGCCGCCCGGAUCCCCUUCGAUCCCUACGCAACAUCUGCUCUGAUCAUGUACGCAUAAAGGCAAGAAACCGUGAGAAAGCACCGAAUCGAGGGGCAAUUAAGAGAUCGGCGAUCGAUCGAGGGAUCCACCGUUUCCCGGAAACGACACCGGUGCCGCAGGAAAACGGUCGUUGGGAAAGGAAUCGUUCUCGGGUUCGAGGGCUCAUGCGCUUGGAAGUCGUUUUUCAAGAAUGAAUAUUUCGAGACGAGUGUAAAUCUCUAUUUCUCUUGUUUCAUUCUCCAAAUCAAAGAUUCUGGAAAUACGAAAACAGUAAUAAUAUUGAGAACUGCUAAAAUAAAAUCGUUAUUGAACUUGCAUAGAAUAAAACCUUACAUCACACUGGACUGUAAUUAAUUUGCAGAAACGACUUUUUCAAACCUCUCCAAAAGGAAUCGUGCAUUUGGCCACAGUAUACGAUGAUCAGCUCGCGAUUCCUAAGCGGAAAUUGCGGAAAGGAGCAGGAAGCGACCUCUUCGUUCCUCCUUACUCUUCUUCGCUCCUUGCUCCAUCUUCUCUUCCCUCUUUCUCCCUCUUUCUCGUUGUGCAACGGCGUGCGUGUGAUACCGUUACACGAUGACAAGCCGAUGCAUCCGUGGCUCCCCGUGAAACACGUAGGAAGUGGAGAAAAUGGGAGAAGGGGAGGAAGAAACUGGCCGAUCGCAAGAAACAGAGAGGAGGGCGAUGGGGGAGGGGAGCACAGAGAGAGAAAGUGUUCCCUUUUACACGAACUCGAAAUUCCUCGGAUUGAUCGGACGAAAAAUAGCAGCUGGUGGAAUUAUUAGAUGGACUAUUCCUAGUUACACUUACAGCCUAGUUACGGAUUUGUUAAACGAGAACAAGCACGGUGUCGUUUCGAACCAAAAAGAUGAUUAAACGAGGUACCACUGUAAUCCUAAUUACCAGUUCAUCGACUCUGCAAUAAAUCUGUUCUGCAAAGGUACACAAAUGUAUAAACACCCCGUAUACACGAGGCCAGCGAACCGAUGAAGUCAUCUCCAGCGGGGAAUCGGUUGCCAGGCGCAUCCUUUACUUUCGAACCGCCUUACAAGGAAUCACGGUGUACAUAGUUGCUCUCGUAAUCGAGUCGAAACGCGCUUCGUUGUCGUCAUCGUCGGAACCGCGAUAUUUACGUGGAAAAGACUGCGAUACGUGGAAGGCACGCGACAUCCCGAGGCUGCGUCGGUGGGAACCGGGCCAAGAUCGUCGGAUGGCCGACCCGUGGCAUCGAUCCUUCAUCGUGGAGGCGCGCGAAUCGCGACCACGUGGGCCAAUCGCGCAACAGCGCGACAACCGAGGAAAGGAAACCCGACGAUUUUCGCCGCGAUUUUUUCGCAACGAUUUUUUCGCACGCGACCGUCCAUCUAAUCCCGUUACCUCCUUCCAGAUCGUGUGAACAUAGGAAAGAGCGUGAAAACGGGAAAUUUUCAUGGAGAGGCCUGAAACAUAUGAUGGCGGAAGAUUUGAGGAAAAUAUCUUAGCGAAGAUGAAGUUGAGUUGGACUGGGGGCGUAUUUCGAUAAUCUGGCAUCGAUAAGAUCGAUGUUCGGUGAACUUCUGGCCUCGAGUCGAUCAACAGAACAAUUUUUCAUGGCGUUUACACGGUAAUCGGAGCCGAUGGGGCGGACGGAUCGUUAAAGUGCACCUAACCGACUCUCCUCUCAUCGCGUGCACUUCCUGGGGGACGAUGUUCUUAUCUCUCUGCCCGAUAACAUUGACGAUAGGCCCCCGAAUAGCCAGAUAAGAGGAAUUAUCCCGAGAAAAUUCUACGAAUACUCCGCCCAUACACAGCUGCGCCACCGAAAAAUCUCACAGCUGCGUAGAUUUUUCCACUUCGUGAGCGGAUAUAUAUCGGGUGUCAACAGAAGUAAGCCAGUCAAUCUUUGUGAAAUUUUUAUUAUUUUUAUAAGGAUCUCUUAUUGAGUAUAGAGAUCUACAACAAGUUCAAUAAAAAAAAUGUAAACUGAUGUCAUUUAUGUUGGAUACGAUUCUUAAUAAAUACAAAUCUUUGAAAAAUA